rnacentral:rRNA from 1 species
CGUUCCCAGGCCUUGUACACACCGCCCGUCAAGCCAUGGAAGUUGGAAGUGCCUGAAGUGCGUAACCGCAAGGAGCGUCCUAGGGUAAAGUCGAUAACUGGGGCU